GGAACAUUACUGACGCUGAGGCGCGAAAGCGUGGGGAGCAAACAGGAUUAGAUACCCUGGUAGUCCACGCCCUAAACGAUGAAUGUUAGUCGUCGGGUAGCUAGUCUAUUCGGUGAUGCAGCUAACGCAUUAAACAUUCCGCCUGGGGAGUACGGUCACAAGAUUAAAACUCAAAGGAAUAGACGGGGACCCGCACAAGUGGUGGAGCAUGUGGUUUAAUUCGAAGAUACGCGAAGAACCUUACCUAGCCUUGACAUAUAUUAGAACACUUUAGAGAUAGAGUGGUGCCUUCGGGAGCUUUUAUACAGGUGCUGCACGGCUGUCGUCAGCUCGUGUCGUGAGAUGUUGGGUUAAGUCCCGCAACGAGCGCAACCCUCGUCACUAGUUACUAACGGUUCGGCCGAGGACUCUAGUGAGACUGCCUUCGUAAGGAGGAGGAAGGUGAGGACGACGUCAAGUCAUCAUGGCCCUUACGGCUAGGGCAACACACGUGCUACAAUGGCCAGGACAGUGAGAAGCGAUACCGCGAGGUGGAGCAAAUCUAUAAACCUGGUCUCAGUUCGGAUUGUAGUCUGCAACUCGACUACAUGAAGCUGGAAUCACUAGUAAUCGUAGAUCAGCUAUGCUACGGUGAAUACGUUCCCGGGUCUUGUACUCACCGCCCGUCACACCAUGGGAGUUGAUUUCACCCGAAGCGGGGAAGCUAAACUGGCUACCCUCCACGGUGGAAUUAGCGACUGGGGUG
rnacentral:rRNA from 1 species